GAUCCUUCAAUAAACAUUAUUGUUUCUGACUCGCUCUGUCUGACUGUGUUCUUGCAUGUGGGUUCGCAACCUUAAAACCGACAUGACAGAACACUCAGACCAG